AACGAACGCUGGCGGCAUGCCUAACACAUGCAAGUCGAACGAGACCUUCGGGUCUAGUGGCGAACGGGUGCGUAACGCGUGGGAACCUGCCCUUAGGUUCGGAAUAACUCCCCGAAAGGGGUGCUAAUACCGGCUAAUGUCUUCGGACCAAAGAUUUAUCGCCUUUGGAUGGGCCCGCGUUGGAUUAGCUAGUUGGGAUGGUAAAAGCCUACCAAGGCGACGAUCCAUAGCCUGUCUGAGAGGAUGAUCAGCCACACUGGGACUGAGACACGGCCCAGACUCCUACGGGAAGCAGCAGUGGGGAAUAUUGGACAAUGGGCUAAAGCCUGAUCCAGCAAUGCCUCGUGAGUGAUGAAGGCCUGAGGGUUGUAAAUCUCUUUUACCCGGGAUGAUAAUGACAGUACCGGGAGAAUAAGCUCCGGCUAACUCCGUG
rnacentral:rRNA from 1 species